CCUACUGCUAUCGGGGUGGGACUAAAACAUGCGAGUCGAGCGUCUCCAAGCCACGGAGGAGACGCGGCAUACGGCUCAGUAACACGUGGCUAACCUAACUUCGGGACAGAGACAACCCCGGGAAACUGGGGCUAAUCCCUGAUAGACGAGAACUCCUGGAACGGAUUCUCGUCCAAAAGGCGCCUAAACCACGCUUUAAGCGCCGCCCAAGGAUGGGGCCCGCGUCCGAUCAGGUAGUUGGUGAGGCAAGG
rnacentral:rRNA from 1 species